rnacentral:rRNA from 1 species
GGAAGGCAGCAGUGGGGGAUCUGCGCAUGGCGAAAGCUGACGCAGCACGCCGCGUGAGGAUGAAGGUCUUCGAGUGUAACUCCUUUCAGCAGGAACGAAAUGACGGUACUGCAGAAGAAGCCCCGGCCCACUACGUGCCAGCAGCCGCGGUAAUACGUAGGGGGCAAGCGUUGUCCGGAAUUAUUGGGCGUAAAGAGCUCGUAGGCGGCUUGGCAAGUCGGGUGUGAAAACUUCAGGCUCAACCUGGAGGUGCCACUCGAUACUGCUAUGGCUAGAGUCCGGUAGGGGACCACGGAAUUCCUGGUGUAGCGGUGAAAUGCGCAGAUAUCAGGAGGAACACCGGUGGCGUAGGCGGUGGUCUGGGCCGGCACUGACGCUGAGGAGCGUAAGCGUGGGUAGCAAACAGGAUUAGAUACCCUGGUAGUCCACGCCGUAAACGUUGGGUACUAGGUGUGGGGCCUUAUCAACGGGUUCCGUGCCGCAGCUAACGCAUUAAGUACCCCGCCUGGGGAGUACGGCCGCAAGGCUAAAACUCAAAGGAAUUGACGGGGGCCCGCACAAGCGGCGGAGCAUGUGGCUUAAUUCGAGGCAACGCGAAGAACCUUACCUGGGUUGAACUACGCAGGAAAAGCCGUAGAGAUACGGUGUCCUUCGGGGCCUGCGAUAGGUGGUGCAUGGCUGUCGUCAGCUCGUGUCGUGAGAUGUUGGGUUAAGUCCCGCAACGAGCGCAACCCUUGUCCUAUGUUGCCAGCGGGUAAUGCCGGGGACUCGUAGGAGACUGCCGGGGUCAACUCGGAGGAAGGUGGGGAUGACGUCAAGUCAUCAUGCCCCUUAUGUCCAGGGCUGCACACAUGCUACAAUGGCCGGUACAAAGGGCUGCUACUCCGCGAGGAUGAGCGAAUCCCACAAAGCCGGUCUCAGUUCGGAUUGGAGUCUGCAACUCGACUCCAUGAAGUCGGAGUCGCUAGUAAUCCCGAAUCAGCAACGUCGCGGUGAAUACGUUCCCGGG